GGAAGUUUAUCCAAGAUGUUCUGUCACAAAUAGUAAAGAUGAAGAGAUGUCAAGCAUCCACUGAAGACUUUAAUCACUAAAAACACUCUGUAGUCAAUUUUAAUAAAGUAGUCAUGCAUACCUA